GCGCCGGCCCACCACCGAGGCGCCGGCCCACCACCGAGGCGGCCGCCCACCACCGAGGCGGCGGCUAGAGCGGCCGGCGGGCCCCGGGCGCCGCGGCUGCGGGCCGCAGGGAACGCGCACGGGGCGGGCUCCGCGCCGCCGGCCUUGUAGCCAUCUUAGGAGGACUCGCGGCUCGGCAGCGCGGGCUGCGGCUUCAAUUUCAAUAACUUUAUUGGCGGCGCGACCUGCAGAACGGCCGUCACGUCAGUGGCCCCUGGAGGAGUGAGAGCUUCGCCCGAGGCGACUGGGGCCGGGGCGCCCCCGGCAGUGAGUGCGGGGACGCGGGGGGCGUCCCGAUCGCGGGGCUCCCGAGCCGGGGGCGGCGGGGGCGCCGGGGCGUGUGCAGGCGUCCCCGCAGGCCGGGAGCGCGGGGGCUCCGGGGCUCGGCGGCCCCGGGGCGGGGAAUCCCGUGCCCGGUCCCGCGGCGCAGGGGCGGGGCUGGGGGGCGCCCCCGACGCGGCGGCUGCGGUGUUCACCGCCGGGUGCCGUUCCCCGCGGUAGGUGGUCCCCGCCGAGCCGCAGCCAUGGGAAACACCGCCAGCGACCGGGUGUCCGGGGACCGCCACGGCGCCAAGGCUGCACGCGCCGAGGGCGCCGGCGGCCAUGCCCCCGGGAAGGAGCACAAGAUCAUGGUGGGAAGCACGGACGACCCCAGCGUGUUCAGCCUGCCCGACUCCAAGGAUUCCAAGGAUGAAAAUGGAAGAUGUGACCUACUCCUGCAUCAUGAGAUCAGAGAAUUACAGAUGUGACCCUCACUUACAGUUUCUAAGGAUCAUGUCUGCGAGUCAGGAUUCCCGAUCCAGAGACAAUGGCCCUGAUGGGAUAGAGCCCGAAUGCAUCAUCGAGAGUAACUGGAAUGAGAUUGUUGACAGCUUUGAUGACAUGAACCUCUCGGAGUCCCUUCUCCGUGGCAUCUACACCUAUGGUUUUGAGAAGCCCUCUGCCAUCCAGCAGCAAGCCAUUCUGCCUUGUAUCAAGGGUUAUGAUGUGACUGCUCAAACCCAGUCUGGGACUGGGAAAAUGGCUACAUUUGCCAUAUCGAUUCUGCAGCAGAUUGAAUUAGAUCUAAAGGCCACCCAGGCCUUGGUCUUAGCACCCGCUCAAGAAUUGGCUCAGCAGAUACAGAAGGUGGUCAUGGCACUAGGAGACUACAUGGGUGCCUCCUGUCACGCCUGUAUUGGGGGCACCAAUGUUCGUGCUGAGGUGCAGAAACUGCAGAUGGAAGCUCCCCAUAUCAUCGUAGGAACCCCUGGCCAUGUGUUCGAUAUGCUUAACUGGAGAUACCUGUCUCCCAAAAACAUCAAAAUGUUUGUACUGGACGAAGCUGAUGAAAUGUUAAGCCGUUGAUUCAAGGGCCAGAUCUAUGACAUAUUCCAAGAGCUCCACAGCAACACCCAGGUAGUUUUGCUGUCAGCUACGAUGCCUUCUGAUGUGCUUGAGGUGACCAAGAAGUUCAUGAGGGACCCCAUUCGGAUUCUUGUCAAGAAGGAAGAGUUGACCCCGGAUAGUAUCCGCCAGUUCUACAUCAAUGUGGAAUGAGAGGAAUGGAAGCCGGACACACUGUGUGACUUGUAUGAAACCCUGACCAUCACCCAGGCAGUCAUCUUCAUCAACACCCAAAGGAAGGUGGCCUGGCUCACUGAGAAGAUGCAUGCUCGAGAUUUCACUGUCUCUGCUAUGCAUGGAGAUACGGACCAAAAGGAACGAGAUGUGAUCAUGAGGGAUUUUCGUUCUGGCUCUAGCAGAGUUUCGAUGACCACAGACCUGCUGGCCAGAGGCAUCAAUGUGCAGCAGGUUUCUCUAGUCAUCAACUGUGACCUUCUCACCAACAGGGAAAACUAUAUCCACAGAAUUGGUCAAGUAGUGUUCCAUGAUGGAUGCAGUUUGGCCGUAAGGGCGUGGCUAUUAACAUGGUGACAGAAGAAGACAAAUGGCCUCUUCGAGACACAGAGACCUUCUACAACACCUGCAUUGAGGAAACGCCCCUCAGUGUUGCUGACCCCAUCUGAGGGGCUGUCCCGCCACCAAGCCCCAGCCUGAGUUCAGUCUUGGGGGGCUGAGGAGUAGCAGGAGCGGGGAGGGAAGGGAGCCAACGGAUGGACAGCUUGUCAUUUUUUUUUUUUUUAAAUAAAUGUCACUUUUUGAGGCAAGAAAAAAAAAUGUAUUCAUUUCUCAGGGAUAAAUAUCCUGGUGAAAGGUUGAUGGAUUGUAUAGAAAAUGCAUGUUUAGUUUUUAACAAUUAUCAAACUAUUUCCCAGAGUACUUGUAUUAUUUUGUAUUCCCAUGAGCAUUGUGGGAGAGAUCCAGUUGCUCCGUGUCCUUGCCAAUAUUUGGUACUAUUUAUUUUUAUUUGAGCUAUUCUAAUGGGUAUGCUGUAUCUCAUCAUGGUCU